CCUUCCGGGGGGCAGCAGUAGGGAAUCUUCCACAAUGGACGCAAGUCUGAUGGAGCAACGCCGCGUGAGUGAAGAAGGGUUUCGGCUCGUAAAGCUCUGUUGUUAAAGAAGAACGUGGGUAAGAGUAACUGUUUACCCAGUGACGGUAUUUAACCAGAAAGCCACGGCUAACUACGUGCCAGCAGCCGCGGUAAUACGUAGGUGGCAAGCGUUAUCCGGAUUUAUUGGGCGUAAAGCGAGCGCAGGCGGUCUUUUAAGUCUAAUGUGAAAGCCUUCGGCUCAACCGAAGAAGUGCAUUGGAAACUGGGAGACUUGAGUGCAGAAGAGGACAGUGGAACUCCAUGUGUAGCGGUGAAAUGCGUAGAUAUAUGGAAGAACACCAGUGGCGAAGGCGGCUGUCUGGUCUGCAACUGACGCUGAGGCUCGAAAGCAUGGGUAGCGAACAGGAUUAGAUACCCUGGUAGUCCAUGCCGUAAACGAUGAUUACUAAGUGUUGGAGGGUUUCCGCCCUUCAGUGCUGCAGCUAACGCAUUAAGUAAUCCGCCUGGGGAGUACGACCGCAAGGUUGAAACUCAAA
rnacentral:rRNA from 1 species